CAACACUGUAAAGUACCUUGGCGCAAACCUGGCAUCUGUGCACAGCUAUGUAGAGUCCCAAUUUCUACAGGCGGUGGUGUUGAUCACGACUGGCAGUUUCCCUCUUACCUGGAUUGGCGGAUUUGAUGCUGUUCAAGCAAAGGUGAAAAGGACAGGCUAUGGUUCUGGAGUGACGGCUCCAAAUUUGAUCACGAGAGCUGGGCUGAAGGGGAGCCGAAUAACAACAAUGGUGCCAGAGAGCCAUGUAUUCAUUUCACUUUGGAGCUGAAAACGGCUGGAACGAUGUCUCAUGUGGAAAGAGCUAUCCCUCCGUGUGCUCCAUAAGAACCUGUUUAAUCCUUCAAACUGUCAAUUGAAACAGAAAAUGCUACUCUGGUGUCAGCAUCCUAACUGCAAAUGUUUCAUGUUAUAGUGAAUUACUUUGAAGGUAUUUGUUGCUGUAAAAUACAUUUGACUUGUUGUGUAACUAUUGUAGCUUGUUGUCAAUAAAACUGGUGUACGUAUUUAA